AUUGAACGCUGGCGGCAGGCCUAACACAUGCAAGUCGAGCGAGCGGCGGACGGGUGAGUAAUGUCCGGGAAACUGCAUGAAUGAGGGGGAUAACUACUGGAAACGAUAGCUAAUACCGCAUACCAUCAGAUGUGCCCAGAUGGGAUUAGCUAGUAGGUGGGGUAAUGGCUCACCUAGGCGACGAUCCCUAGCUGGUCUGAGAGGAUGACCAGCAACACUGGAACGGAACCACGGUACAGACUCCUCCGGGAGGCAGCAGUGGGGAAUAUUGCACAAUGUGCGAAAGCCUGAUGCAGCCAUGCCGCGUGUGUGAAGAAGGCCUUGGGGUUGUAAAGCACUUUCAGCGGGGAGGCGUUACCCGCAGAAGAAGCACCGGCUAACUCCGUGCCAGAAGCCGCGGUAAUAC
rnacentral:rRNA from 1 species